rnacentral:rRNA from 1 species
CAGCCGCCACGGUAAGACAGAGGAUGCAAGCGUUAUCCGGAAUGAUUGGGCGUAAAGCGUGCGUAGGCGGUUUGUUAAGUCUGCUGUGAAAUCCCCGGGCUCAACCUGGGAAUGGCAGUGGAUACUGGCAAGCUAGAGUGUGUCAGAGGAUGGUGGAAUUCCCGGUGUAGCGGUGAAAUGCGUAGAGAUCGGGAGGAACAUCAGUGGCGAAGGCGGCCAUCUGGGCCAACACUGACACUGAGGCACGAAAGCGUGGGGAGCAAACAGGAUUAGAUACCCGCGUAGUCCCUGUCUCUUAUAC